GACGAACGCUGGCGGCGUGCCUAAUACAUGCAAGUCGAACGCUGAAGAGAGGAGCUUGCUCUUCUUGGAUGAGUUGCGAACGGGUGAGUAACGCGUAGGUAACCUGCCUUGUAGCGGGGGAUAACUAUUGGAAACGAUAGCUAAUACCGCAUAACAAUGGAUGACCCAUGUCAUUUAUUUGAAAGGGGCAAAUGCUCCACUACAAGAUGGACCUGCGUUGUAUUAGCUAGUAGGUGAGGUAACGGCUCACCUAGGCGACGAUACAUAGCCGACCUGAGAGGGUGAUCGGCCACACUGGGACUGAGACACGGCCCAGACGCCUACGGGAGGCAGCAGUAGGGAAUCUUCGGCAAUGGGGGCAACCCUGACCGAGCAACGCCGCGUGAGUGAAGAAGGUUUUCGGAUCGUAAAGCUCUGUUGUAAGUCAAGAACGAGUGUGAGAGUGGAAAGUUCACACUGUGACGGUAGCUUACCAGAAAGGGACGGCUAACUACGUG
rnacentral:rRNA from 1 species